UGGGGAAUAUUGGACAAUGGGCGCAAGCCUGAUCCAGCAAUGCCGCGUGGGUGAAGAAGGCCUGCGGGUUGUAAAGCCCUUUCAGUGGGGAAGAUGGGCUGUUGUGCGAUAAGUGCGAUGGUUUGACGUUACCCACAGAAGAAGCACCGGCUAACUCCGUGCCAGCAGCCGCGGUAAUACGGAGGGUGCGAGCGUUAAUCGGAAUUACUGGGCGUAAAGCGCGCGUAGGCGGUUGUGCCAGUCAGAUGUGAAAGCCCCGGGCUCAACCUGGGAAUGGCAUUUGAUACUGCACGGCUAGAGUCUGUCAGAGGGUGGCGGAAUUCCGGGUGUAGCGGUGAAAUGCGUAGAUAUCCGGAGGAACACCGGUGGCGAAGGCGGCCACCUGGGGCGAGACUGACGCUGAGGUGCGAAAGCGCGGGGAGCGAACAGGAUUAGAUACCCCCGUAGUCC
rnacentral:rRNA from 1 species